GUCUAUGGCCGUGCUACUCUGAACAAGCCCGAUCCCGUCUGAUCUCGGAAGCUAAGCAGGGUCGGGCCUGGUUAGUACUUGGAUGGGAGACCACCUAGGAAGACCAGGUGCUGUAGGCA
rnacentral:rRNA from 1 species